rnacentral:rRNA from 1 species
UUUGAUAGUACCUUUUUUACCUGGAUAACUGUGGUAAUUCUAGAGCUAAUACAUGCUAAAAACCUCGACUUCGGAAGGGGUGUAUUUAUUAGAUUAAAAACCAAUGCCCUUCGGGGCUCCAUGGUGAAUCAUAAUAACUAAACGAAUCGCAUGGCCUUGCGCCGGCGAUGGUUCAUUCAAUUUUCCGCCCUAUCAACUUUCGAUUGUAGGAUAGAGGCCUACAAUGGUUUUAACGGGUAACGGGGGAUUAGGGUUCGACUCCGGAGAGGGAGCCUGAGAAACGGCUACCACAUCCAAGGAAGGCAGCAGGCGCGCAAAUUACCCAAUAGCAACACGCUGAGGUAGUAACAAUAAAUACUGAUCGGGGGCUCAUUAGGGCCUCCGAAUCGGAAUGAGUACAAUUUAAAUCCCUUAACGAG